UACAAGACGCAUAAGAGGAUCGAUCAUGGUAUUGCGUUAAAAUAAAAACAAAUACAGCUCAAGUGUGGAAUGAUAUCCAAGACUGCUAGCACUAAAAUACACUGGGUGCGGAAUUUGAAAUCAUGGAAACACACAGUCUAAUUAUUGGGCAGUACAUGUGGAAAGAGAAAGGAUUACCACUUCAGGCCGACGACAAUUCACGGAAUCAAACUAAUGUUGUGAAAAUCACAGUUUCAUGCUCAAUGAAAUAUUUGAGAGGCUAUUACAUAGGACCCAGCCCCUCAGCAGCCAGUGACAGCAGAUAUUCAUCAGCCGUUUCAUUUGUGAAGAAAUCCAGUGGCCUCAACGAGAAAAUGAAGUGAUCACACUCUGUCACGUAUUACCUUCAUUGAAAUCGACAGUAAAACAGGCAAUUAGGUAAAACUGUAUGAAGCUAAUGUUUAUGCUCCAUUCUUGAAUUAGCUUUUGGAUCCUUCACAUCAACAAAGCCUCACCUUAAAGCUUGGUGAUAGGAGGUAGAGGGUUGUGGUGAUGGGUGUUUUUCUUACUAGAAAUCUGUAACACCACUUGUUUUAUAUAUAUGGCAGUACGGUAGUGUAGUGGUUAGUGUAACGCUAUUACAGCACCAGCGUCCCAGGUUCAAUUCCGCCAUUACCUGUAAGAAGUUUGUACAUUCUCCCCAGGUCUGCGUGGGUUUCCUCCGGGUGCCACAGCUUCCUUCCACAUUCCAAAGAUGUACAGGUUAGGAAGUUGUGGGCAUGCUAUGUUGGCACCGGAAGAGUGGUGACACUUGCGGGCUGCCCCCAGCACAUUCUCAAUAACGCAAAAAGAGGCAUUUCACUAUGUGUUUCGAUAUACAUGUGACUAAUAAAUAUAUUAUACAAGUAAUGCAUAUGUGACUUGGGUGAGAAUGUAGGUGGCACAAGUAAUAAGUUUGCAGACAACAUGAAAAUUGGUGGAGUCAUAGAUAGUGAAGAAAGUUGGACAUAGGUCAGCUGGAAAGCCAGGCAGAGCAGUGGCUACUGGAAUCUCAUCUACACAAGCAUGAGACAAUGCACUUUGGGAGGUCAAAUUCUGGUUGGACAUAUAGAGUAAAUGGCAAAGAUCUUAGUGUUGGUGUCCAUAGCUCCCUGAAAGUGACAAUGGGUGGAUAGGGUGCUGAAAAAGGCAUUUGCUAUGCUUACAACACACACAAAAUGCUGGAGUAACUUAGCAGAUCAGGCAGCAUCUGCGAAGAGAAAUAAACAGUCGACAUUUCGUGCCAAGACCCUUCAUCAGGAUUGGAAAGAAGGAGGGCAGAAGCCAAAAUAAAAGGGUGGGGGGAGGAGCACGAGCUGAUGGGUGAUCAGGUGAGGGGAAGAAGUGAGAAUGAUGUGAGAAGCUGGAAGGUGAUGGGUGGAAGAGGCAAAGGGAUGAACAAGAUGGAAUCUGAUAGGAGAGAACAGUAGACCAUGAAAUAAAGGGAAGGAGAUGGGGAACCAGAGGGAGGAAGGUGUGGGUAACGGUCAGGUCAUGAGGGCGGGGGAAGGGAAAGAGAAGGGGCAAGGGGGCCAGAGGGAUAAGGGAAAACAAAAGUGGGGGGGGGGGGGCGGGGGAGAGAAAGACAGCGGGGAGUGGUUACCGUAAGUUGGAGAAAUCAAUGUUGAUGCCGUCAGGUUGGAGACUACCAAGAAGGAAAAUGAAGUGUUCCUCUAAUCUGCAUUUAGCCUCAACUUGGCAGUAGAAGAGGCCGUGGAUGAACAUAUUAGUGUGGGAAUCGGAAGUGAAAUUAAAAUGGCUGGCCACCGGGAGAUCCUGGCUGUGCUUGUGUUCAUUGGCCGAGACACUGAGUGUAAGAGUUUGGACAUCAUGUUGCAGUUGUACAACACAUUGGUUACACCACACUGAGUAUUGUGUACAGUUCUGGUGACCAUACUGCAGGAUGUGGUAGCAAUAGAGAAAGCGUGCAGAAGAGAUUCACCAUGUUGCCUGGAAAGGAAGGCUGUAGUUAUGAGAGAUGGAUAGGCUGGGUUUAUUCUCACUGGAACAUAGAAGGCGGAGGGGUGAUUUAAUAGAGGUUUAUAAAAUUAUGAAAGGCAUAGAUACGAUAGAUAAUCAGAAUCUUUUUUUCCUAAGGCAGAGGAGUCUAGAACUAGAAGGCACAGGUUUAAAGGUGAGAGGAGAGAAACUUAAAGGAAAUCUGAAGGGCAAAUUUUUCCACACAGAGGGUGGUGAAUAUCUGGAAUGUGCUGCCAGAGGAAGUGAUGGAGGCAGAUACAAUUACACUGUUUAAAAGGCACUUGGAUAGGAAAGACACAAGGGCUACUAAUGCCUAAUGUGGGCAAAUGGGAUUAGCAUAGAUAGGCAUCAUGGUCGGCAUGGACAAUGUGAUCCAAAGGGCCCAUUUCUGUGUUGUACAAUUCUAUGAUUCGAUUACAAUACCUGCCUUGUGCACUCUGGGCUGCUGUGCUUUCUAUAUUCUGACCAAUGUGUAUAAAGUUUGUUUGAAGUGUUUACCUGAUCUGCAAGUUCUUAUCUCAUACUUGUUGCUUUGAAACCAGUUUCUCAACUCAGGCAAUCAAGCCAACCAGGUCAACAUGCCUUUUACUUCAAAUUAAGUUAAAAUUAGCCUAUAAAACACUAGAAAAUGAAAACUGACAAAACACUUCCAAUAAAUCUAUUUAGGAAAAUAU